AGAGGAAUAGCUGGGUCAAAUGGUGGUUCCAUUCCCAGAUUUCCAAGGAAUCUCCAUACUGCUUUCCAGAGUGGUUGCACCAAUUUGCAGUCCCACCAGCAAC
rnacentral:pre_miRNA from 1 species